UGUAAGCGUAUACCAAAGUUGUUGCAGUUAAAACGCUCGUAGUCGGAAUUUGGCAGUUCCGGAUGUGUGCACGUCGUGUGCGCACUUCGCGGGGAUUGCUUUUGUGGUCUUGCGUAGGCUGAGGCACUUUUAUUAGUGAACGUCCUCACGCAACCACUUUUUACUGUGAGAAAAUCAGAGUGCUCAAAGCAGGCAUUUGCCGUGAAUGUAUUAGCAUGGAAUAAUAGAAUAGGACUUGGUUCUAUUUUGUUGGUUUGUUGGGACUGAGUAAUGAUUAAGAGGGACAGUUGGGGGCAUUUGUAUUUCGGUGCUAGAGGUGAAAUUCUUAGAUUACCGAAAGACAAACUGCUGCGAAAGCGUCUGCCAAGGAUGUUUUCAUUGA
rnacentral:rRNA from 1 species